rnacentral:rRNA from 1 species
UUGAACGCUGGCGGCAUGCCUUACACAUGCAAGUCGAACGGUAACGCGGGGCAACCUGGCGACGAGUGGCGAACGGGUGAGUAAUACAUCGGAACGUGCCCAGUAGUGGGGGAUAGCCCGGCGAAAGCCGGAUUAAUACCGCAUACGACCUACGGGUGAAAGCAGGGGAUCGCAAGACCUUGCGCUAUUGGAGCGGCCGAUGUCAGAUUAGGUUGUUGGUGGGGUAAAAGCCCACCAAGCCGACGAUCUGUAGCUGGUCUGAGAGGACGACCAGCCACACUGGGACUGAGACACGGCCCAGACUCCUACGGGAGGCAGCAGUGGGGAAUUUUGGACAAUGGGCGCAAGCCUGAUCCAGCCAUGCCGCGUGCGGGAAGAAGGCCUUCGGGUUGUAAACCGCUUUUGUCAGGGAAGAAACGCUCUGGGCUAAUACCCCGGGGUAAUGACGGUACCUGAAGAAUAAGCACCGGCUAACUACGU